rnacentral:rRNA from 1 species
CAGUGAAGAGGCCCAAGCAACUGUUUAACUAAAACACAGCUCUCUGCUAAAUCGUAAGAUGAUGUAUAGGGGGUGACGCCUGCCCGGUGCUGGAAGGUUAAGAGGAUGAGUUAGUCGCAAGGCGAAGCUUUGAAUUUAAGCCCCAGUGAACGGCGGCCGUAACUAUAACGGUCCUAAGGUAGCGAAAUUCCUUGUCAGGUAAGUUCUGACCCGCACGAAAGGCGUAAUGAUUUGGGCGCUGUCUCGGCAGCAGACUCGGUGAAAUCUUAAUACCUGUGAAGAUGCAGGUUACCCGCAACUAGACGGAAAGACCCCAUGGAGCUUUACUAUAGCUUGAUAUUGAGUUUCGGUUUGGUAUGUACAGGAUAGGUAGGAGACUUUGAAGUGUGGACGCUAGUUUACAUGGAGUCAUUGUUGGGAUACUACUCUUAUCAAAUUGAAAUUCUAACCUGAAACCGUAAUCCGGUUUAGGGACAGUGUCAGGUGGGUAGUUUGACUGGGGCGGUCGCCUCCUAAAAGGUAACGGAGGCGCGCAAAGGUACCCUCAGAUUGGUUGGAAAUCAAUCGACGAGCGCAAUUGCAGAAGGGUGCUUGACUGCAAGACUUACAAGUCGAGCAGGGACGAAAGUCGGUAAUAGUGAUCCUGCGGUUCAGUAUGGAAUGGCCGUGGCUUAACGGAUAAAAGCUACCCUGGGGAUAACAGGCUGAUCUCGCCCAAGAGUUCACAUCGACGGCGAGGUUUGGCACCUCGAUGUCGGCUCAUCGCAUCCUGGAGCUGAAUUCGGUUCCAAGGGUUGGGCGUUCCAAGGGUUGGGCUGUCCGCCCAUUAAAGCGGUACGCGAGCUGGGUUCAGAACGUCGUGAGACAGUUCGGUCCCUAUCUGUUGUGGGCGUUGGAAACUUGAGGAGCGCUGCCCUUAGUACGAGAGGACCGGGGUGGACGUACCUAUGGUGCACCAGUUGUCACGCCAGUGGCAUAGCUGGAUAGCUAAGUACGGAUUGGAUAAACGCUGAAGGCAUCUAAGCGUGAAACCAACUCCAAGAUGAGGUUUCCCAUUCACUUGAUGAAGUAAGACCCCUUAUAGACUAUGAGGUUGAUAGGUCAGAGAUGUAAGCAUAGUGAUAUGUUAAGUUGACUGAUACUAAUAGGUCGAGGUAUUUAUCAU